UACAUAUUAACGAAUGCAGUUGUGUGCUCC
rnacentral:piRNA from 1 species